GAGGACAUAUACACUCUAAGGAUCAGCAGCCGCUUUCAUAGGAGACCCCCCUUGAAGAUUGUUUUCUUCGUCACCCCCUUCAGAUUUUUGUUUUUCUUCUCCUUCACAUUCAAAAAACCCUAGAACUUCAUCUUCUUCAUCCUUUAGCUUGAGCCGCAAUACACCAAGGACCCUCCCCCCCAGCCUUUUCUUCUUCUUCCUCGACUAACCUAGAGAACACAAGGAAAAUCCUAGACUCCAAUGAAGUUGUGCUAUAGCCAUUCCCCAGCCGAAGAGUACACACACUUAGAACUCCCAGCUACACACACCUCUCACACCACCUGGAACUCACCGGAGACAGCAGCAGCUGGAGCCAUCUCUUUACUGCCAGAAUCUGGUGAGGAUAAACCCAGUCGCUUCUUCUGCUUCUUCCCAUUCACGACAUCACACCAGAAACCAGCCUGCUACUCUUCUCGAAAACUCAAGCAAAACAGUUUUAAGACGAGGUUGGUUUGAGGUCAUCGAUGUCCGUUCGAGGCUUAAUCGUCGGUUCGAGGUUCAGGUCAUUAGCUCGCUUUUUGGUUCAUUGUAUCGGAGGCUUCUCUCAUUGUAUACGUUAAAGAAAGCGCAACAAUAAAGGAGGGAGCGUAGGAGCGUGCUGGAGACUUCUUGGUGAGCUGUUGUGCUUGGAUUUAUAGCUUAUGGAGCCUCUCUCUAUCUUAUCUAUUAUUUCUUGUUCUAGAUAGUAUUUUGUAUUUUGAGGCUGUUGUAUUUCGUUUAGCGGCUCAUGACUUGUACUACUGGUCCUUGGGGGUUGAUAUAGUAUUUCACACUUGAUGUUGAUGCUUGACUUAUUUCUGCACUUAUACAUUAUUUUUUUAAUGGUUAUUUGUGUGUGUUGGUUCA